GAUUUACUGGCGUAAAGGGCGUGUAGGCGGUCUUUCAAGUCCGAUGCUAAAGACUGGGGCUCAACCCCAGGGGUGCGUUGGAUACUGUGAGGCUAGACGGUCGGAGGGGGUAGCGGAAUUUCCGGAGUAGCGGUGAAAUGCGCAGAUACCGGAAGGAACGCCAAUAGCGAAGGCAGCUACCUGGACGACUUGUGACGCUGAGGCGCGAAAGCGUGGGGAGCAAACCGGAUUAGAUACCCGGGUAGUCCACGCCCUAAACCAUGAGUGCUGGGUGUCCGGCUUCUGCUGGGUGCCGUAGCUAACGCGCUAAGCACUCCGCCUGGGAAGUACGCACGCAAGUGUGAAACUCAAAGGAAUUGACGGGGGCCCGCACAAGCGGUGGAGCAUGUGGUUUAAUUCGAAGCGACGCGAAGAACCUUACCAGGCCUUGACAUGCCCGGAACCCCUCUGAAAGGAGGGGGUGCCCGCAAGGGAGCCGGGACACAGGUGCUGCAUGGCCGUCGUCAGCUCGUGUCGUGAGAUGUUGGGUUAAGUCCCGCAACGAGCGCAACCCCUAUCCCUAGUUGCCAGCAGUUCGGCUGGGCACUCUAUGGAGACUGCCUGCGAAAGCAGGAGGAAGGCGGGGAUGACGUCUGGUCCGCAUGGCCCUUACGGCCUGGGCGACACACGUGCUACAAUGCCAAGGACAGAGCGCUGCUACCUCGCGAGAGGACGCCAAUCGCAAAAACCUUGGCUCAGUUCGGAUUGGAGUCUGCAACUCGACUCCAUGAAGCCGGAAUCGCUAGUAAUCGCGAAUCAGCCAUGUCGCGGUGAAUACGUUCCCGGG
rnacentral:rRNA from 1 species